CCUAAAUGAGAGGCUGAACUAACGAAACCAAAACAAGGAAUCACAUGGAAACGAAAACCAGGAUGAAAUGUUGUUCUCCAUCUCCCCAUUUCUGCUGAUAACAUGAAGCUCUGAAAAAGAAUACAGUGGAGGUGUUUCUAGGCUGCACUUGACUGUUUCAGCAUCACACAGCAUUACAAACAUGGACCAGACCUUCUCUUCCUGCUCUCCAACCCAGUACAUCAAACAGAACCCUUUCCAUAACACAUCUGGAUACAGUGAGAACACCUGAGCACAUGGAAGUGAAACUCUGAUCCUCCCUUCUGAGGGAACUACACAACUAACACACAUAAUCUCAUCAGUCAGGAUCCUCAGACUGCACAUUACCAACUUCAUACAGCACCUUUCACUCUAAUGAAGACAUAAAGAGAACAUUU